rnacentral:rRNA from 1 species
GGUAUGCACUGGCUUUACUGAUUCCUCCUUCUUGAAGAACUGUAAUGUCAUUAAUUUGGUGUUGCAGGGAAACAGGACUGUUACUUUGAAAAAAUUAGAGUGUUUAAAGCAGGCUAACGCUUGAAUACAUUAGCAUGGAAUAAUGAAAUAGGACGUUCGAUCCUAUUUUGUUGGUUUCUAGGAUUGACGUAAUGAUUAAUAGGGAUAGUUGGGGGCAUUAGUAUUCAAUUGUCAGAGGUGAAAUUCUUGGAUUUAUUGAAGACUAACUACUGCGAAAGCAUUUGCCAAGGAUGUUUUCAUUAAUCAAGAACGAAAGUUAGGGGAUCGAAGACGAUCAGAUACCGUCGUAGUCUUAACCAUAAACUAUGCCGACUAGGGAUCGGAUGAUGUUAAUUUUUUAAUGACUCAUUCGGCGCCUUACG